GACGAACGCUGGCGGCGUGCUUAACACAUGCAAGUCGAACGGAAAGGCCCUGCUUGCAGGGUGCUCGAGUGGCGAACGGGUGAGUAACACGUGGGUGAUCUGCCCCUUACUUUGGGAUAAGCCUGGGAAACUGGGUCUAAUACUGGAUAGGACCAUGCUGUAGGUGGUGUGGUGGAAAGAUUAGUUUCGGUAAGGGAUGAGCUCGCGGCCUAUCAGCUUGUUGGUGGGGUAAUGGCCUACCAAGGCGUCGACGGGUAGCCGGCCUGAGAGGGUGGACGGCCACAUUGGGACUGAGAGACGGCCCAGACGCCUACGGGAGGCAGCAGUGGGGAAGAGUGCACAAUGGGCGCAAGCCUGAUGCAGCGACGCCGCGUGGGGGAUGACGUCCUUCGGGUUGUAAACUCCUUUCAGCCAUGACGAAGCCCUUGUGGUGACGGUAGUGGUAGAAGAAGCACCGGCUAACUACGUG
rnacentral:rRNA from 1 species